rnacentral:rRNA from 1 species
UACGGAGGGGGGCUAGCGUUGUUCGGAAUUACUGGGCGUAAAGCGCACGUAGGCGGCUUUGCAAGUUAGAGGUGAAAGCCCAGGGCUUAACCCUGGACCUGCAUUCGAUACGGGCAGACUAGAGUUCGGUAGGGGAGACUGGAAUUCCUGGUGUAGCGGUGAAAUGCGCAGAUAUUCAGGAGGAACACCGGUGGCGAAGGCGGGUCUCUGGGCCGAUACUGACGCUGAGGAGCGAAAGCGUGGGGAGCGAACAGG